GAAACUGCGAAUGGCUCAUUAAAACAGUUAUCGUUUAUUUGGCGGUCAUUCAUUACAUGGAUAACCGUGGUAAUUCUAGAGCUAAUACAUGCGCCCAGACCCGACUUCGUGGAAGGGUUGUGUUUAUUAAGUACAAAACCAACCCACGCUCUGCCUGGUCUUUUGGUGAUUCAUGAUAACCGAACGAAUCAUAUAGCAGCCUCUGGCGAUCAACCAUUCAUGUUUCUGACCUAUCAACUUCCGACGGUAGGGUAUUGGCCUACCGUGGCAAUGACGGGUAACGGAGAAUAAUGGUUCGAUUCCGGAGAAGGAGCCUGAUAAACGGCUACCACAUCUAACGAAGGCUUGCUGGCGGGCAAAUUACUCAAUCCUGACACAGGGAGGUAGUGACAACAAAUAACAAUACUGUGCAUCUCCGUCUUGCUAUUGUAAUGAGUAAAAGUUAAAUCCCUUUAUCAGUAUCCAUUGUAGGGCAAGUCUGG
rnacentral:rRNA from 1 species